GCCGGAGUAGCUCAGUUGGUAGAGCAAGUGAUUUGUAAUCACUAGGCCGUGGGUUCGAGUCCCGCCUCCGGCU
rnacentral:tRNA from 1 species